rnacentral:rRNA from 1 species
ACUCGUGGCAGAUAGCUCAGUAACACGUGGCCAAACUACCCUGUCGAUCGGGACACCCUCGGGAAACUGAGGCUAAUCCCGGAUACGGCUCGCUGCCUGGAGUUGGCGUGAGCUCGAAACGUUCAGGCGCGACAGGAUGUGGCUGCGGCCGAUUAGGUAGACGGUGGGGUAACGGCCCACCGUGCCGAUAAUCGGUACGGGUUGUGAAAGCAAGAGCCCGGAGACGGAAUCUGAGACAAGAUUCCGGGCCCUACGGGGCGCAGCAGGCGCGAAACCUUUACACUGCACGCGAGUGCGAUAGGGGGACUCCAAGUGCGAGGGCAUACAGUCCUCGCUUUUCACCACCGUAAGGAGGUGGUAGAAUAAGUGCUGGGCAAGACCGGUGCCAGCCGCCGCGGUAAUACCGGCAGCACGAGUGAUGACCGCUAUUAUUGGGCCUAAAGCGUCCGUAGCCGGCCGGGCAAGUCCAUCGGGAAAUCCGCACGCCUAACGUGCGGGCGUCCGGUGGAAACUGUUCGGCUUGGGACCGGAAGAUCCAGAGGGUACGUCUGGGGUAGGAGUGAAAUCCUGUAAUCCUGGACGGACCACCGGUGGCGAAAGCGCUCUGGAAAGACGGAUCCGACGGUGAGGGACGAAAGCUUGGGUCACGAACCGGAUUAGAUACCCGGGUAGUCCAAGCUGUAAACGAUGUCUGCUAGGUGUGGCACAGGCUACGAGCCUGUGCUGUGCCGUAGGGAAGCCGUGAAGCAGACCGCCUGGGAAGUACGUCUGCAAGGAUGAAACUUAAAGGAAUUGGCGGGGGAGCACUACAACCGGAGGAGCCUGCGGUUUAAUUGGACUCAACGCCGGACAUCUCACCAGCAUCGACAGUAGCUGUGACGGUCAGUGUGAUGAGCUUACUAGAGCUACUGAGAGGAGGUGCAUGGCCGCCGUCAGCUCGUACCGUGAGGCGUCCUGUUAAGUCAGGCAACGAGCGAGACCCGCACGCCUAAUUGCC